rnacentral:rRNA from 1 species
GACGAACGCUGGCGGCGUGCUUAACACAUGCAAGUCGAACGAUGAAGCCGGAGCUUGCUCUGGUGAAUUAGUGGCGAACGGGUGAGUAACACGUGAGUAACCUGCCCUUGACUCUGGGGUAACUGCUAGAAAUGGUAGCUAAUACCGCAUACGACACUCGGAGGCAUCUCCAGGGGGUGGAUAGAAUUUCGGUCAAGGAUGGACUCGCGGCCUAUCAGCUAGUUGGUGAGGUAACGGCUCACCAAGGCGACGACGGGUAGCCGGCAAGAGAGGGUGACCGGCCACACUGGGACUGAGACACGGACCAGACUCCUACGGGAGGCAGCAGUGGGGAAUAUUGCACAAUGGGCGCAAGCCUGAUGCAGCAACGCCGCGUGAGGGAUGACGGCCUUCGGGUUGUAAACCUCUUUUAGUAGGGAAGAAGCGAAAGUGACGGUACCUGCAGAAAAAGCACCGGCUAACUACGUGCCAGCCGCCGCAGUAA